CUUUUCUCCCCUUUCAGUGAUAUGGGUCACCCCUGUCCAUGUCCAGCUUUCUGCAGCUUCAUGAUUAUUUUCCUAUUUUUAGAUCCUUUCAUCGAGUCGAGAUAGCUACUUGGAAUGCAGGAACCUUGAGAGACCUGUCAUUUCCAUCCCCAAGGCUAAAUUGCCAUUUCUGUCAUGAACUCUAAUCUGCCACAAGAAGAACCAGGCGGAGGGGGUUCAACUGCACGUGCGGCUUUCGAAAGAUAUGCAUGGGCCAGUAAAGCCCAUCAAAGAGAAACGAACGAAGGAACGGGGCUCGGAUCGGGGCCGGGGGUCAAAUAAACGGCUCCAGGGUUCAGGUCAACCGUGUUUCCCUCAAUCUCACACAGCUUGGGGUAAUGAAGGCCAUACAAUUCAAGAAAAGACCAAGCAGAAACACCAUCACUACCACCCUCCAGUGUGCAAAGCUCCGAUGUCUGGGACAUGAAAUCCGAGGAAGAAGUCAGAGGAGAGAGGAACGCCCUUAGAGGGGAUAUGUUUUUUCUCUCCAUGGAGUACCUGAAGGAAUCAACACAAAGAACGAAUCCCUGAGUUCAGCCAGAGACUCAUAAUGAUGGAGGACCAAACCACCAAUGCCAAGUUUUUGAGAGAAAAAAAAAAUCUUAACCCCGAAGUCACAGAUGCAAUGCCUGGCUGAUUCCUCGAGCUUCUCUGUGGAGACCCAGGAUUCCAAAUGUUGUACGAAAACAUGCUAGAGUCAAGUUAAGAGUACCACAGCUUCAGCAUAACUUGGCACCUGUGAUGUAAGUGAACCAACCUUCAAGUGAUGAUGUGCAGAUGUUUAAGGAUUACUAGAGAGUACAGGACUGACUAUGAAGAGCAGAAAAAGAUCUUAAGACACACAGGAGAAAAAGACGAGACGGAGCAGGAGAAGGAAGGUGACUGCUCAGCCGCUGAGAGGAGCGUCUCCAGGUGCCACCAACCUUCCAACAGCUCCUCUGGAUCCUUCAGAGAGACAUCCUUAACUAACGAAAGGGAAGGGCUGAGAGAAGAGCCACCAUCGUUCAGGAUACACAGCUCCACCCCUGGAGACACCUUAAGAAAUACUAUCUAAUGGGCUCUACAUCCCGCUCACUUAGCAGGGCUUCUCUGCCCUGUGUGAAAGAGGUAUUACAUUUGUUUAUAAGCUGUGGCAUCAUACAUAACUAUAGUCUGAGCACUUCAGAGACUGAGGCAGGAGAAUCAAGAGUUCAAGUUAGUCCCAGGCUACACAGGAGACCUUGUCUCAUAAAGAGAGAGGGAGGGGAGAGAAAAGGGAGAAGUUCAAGUCUGUCCCAGAGAAAACACCCCACGCACUUGGAAAACUUUUCCACGUGCUUUCCCCCUGUGAUCUGUAGUCUCUAACGACUGUCCCAUUCUUUAUGGUGUUCGCCAAGCAACUGGCGAAUUAUCAAGACCCCUGGCCUCUCUGCUCUCCCUACCUUCUGAUUCAUUCCCUAAACCGAAAGAACAUCGUUGGCAUUAUGAUGUGAGCCAUAGAGGAGUCAGGCUGGUUACCUACAAAAUGAAAACACC